GGUUCUGAUGAUGAUUUUUUCACAAAACUUUCGUUCUCCUGAGCAAAAAACAGUGCUGAGAAAAUUGGAGACCUGAACUGAAGAACU